UAUGUAUGUUUCAUAGAGCUCAGAAGCAAAUUUAGCGCCGUUUCAUUUAGACCUUAAUAUAACGAUGUCAGCGUGUUUGAUGAAAGUUGACUUUCUUCGUUAUUAUCAAGCUUGGUUUGAGGCAGUAUGACAUUAGAUCUCUGAAAUUUAAAAAUUGUCGAGAAUAGCUUUAUGAGUUGAGGUUUCAAUCAUCUUUAGUUUCUUUAAAUUUAUUGAGGUUAGUAAUAUGACAAUAUAAUUUGUUUUUAUGUUUACCUCCAUUGCACAUUUGAGCUUAUUUUGGGAAUUACGACGAUGCUGAACUAAAUUCUUCUCAAAAUUCUGGGAAAGUGCCUGAAAUUCUUCCAAUGCAUAUUCUUGGGAAGAAAUAGAAGAGAUCUUACUAUUGACGGACUCCAAUUCUGCGUUUAUACUAUUAUAUUCCACCAACAGGUUUGACAGGUUUUUCGAAGCAUCCAGCUGUAAUUUAUCUAAAGCACGAAGCUUCUCCUCUGUCGUUCUUAGGCUUUCUAAAAUCACGUCUCUGAAUUGUUGGGUCAAUUAGCUGAAGAAACUUAUGGACGUACUUGACACGUGCAUUCAAAAAAUAUGAAUGCAAUGCACUAUCAUGAUGCUCACUGAAUGCUAAUACUGCUUCAGAUACCAUGUUAGCAUGGCGAUUGCUCAGCUCUGUUUGCAAAGACGUUAUAAUUUCAGACAUGUUGUGGUUCUUGAUAACAUGUUAAUAGUGUCUACGCGUCUUUUGUUUACAUCAAGCUAGCGAUAUAUAGCGUACUGUUUUAGCU